rnacentral:rRNA from 1 species
CAUAAUCUAUUCGUAGUAAAGUGGGGGACUUUUCGAGCCUCACGCUAUCAGAUGAGCCUGCGUAAGAUUAGCUAGUUGGUAGGGUAAAAGCCUACCAAGGCGACGAUCUUUAGCUGGUCUGAGAGGAUGAUCAGCCACAUCGGGACUGAGACCCGGCCCGAACUCCUACGGGAGGCAGCAGUGGGGAAUAUUGGACAAUGGGGGCAACCCUGAUCCAGCAAUACCGCGUGUGUGAAGAAGGCCUGAGGGUUGUAAAGCACUUUCAAUUGUGAAGAAAAGCUAGUGGUUAAUAGCCAUUAGCCUUGACAUUAACUUUAGAAGAAGCACCGGCUAACUCCGUGCCAGCAGCCGCGGUAAUACGGAGGGUGCAAGCGUUAAUCGGAAUUACUGGGCGUAAAGCGUGCGUAGGCGGUUUAUUAAGUCAGAUGUGAAAGCCCCGGGCUUAACCUGGGAACUGCAUUUGAAACUGGUCAACUAGAGUAUGGUAGAGGAAAGUGGAAUUUCUGGUGUAGCGGUGAAAUGCGUAGAUAUCAGAAGGAACAUCAAUGGCGAAGGCAACUUUCUGGACCAAUACUGACGCUGAGGUACGAAAGCGUGGGUAGCAAACAGGAUUAGAUACCCUGGUAGUCCACGCCGUAAACGAUGAUAACUAGCCGUUGGGGGGAUUUACCCCUUAGUGGCGAAGCUAACGCGUUAAGUU